rnacentral:rRNA from 1 species
AAGCCUACGAGACGCAGCAGUGAGGAAUAUUGGUCAAUGGGCGGGAGCCUGAACCAGCCAAGUCGCGUGAAGGAAGAAGGUACUUAGUAUUGUAAACUUCUUUUGUCGGGGAACAAAGGCGGAGACGCGUCUCCGGAUGAGUGUACCCGAAGAAAAAGCAUCGGCUAACUCCGUGCCAGCAGCCGCGGUAAUACGGAGGAUGCGAGCGUUAUCCGGAUUUAUUGGGUUUAAAGGGUGCGCAGGCGGGGGAUCAAGUCAGGGGGAAAAUGUCGGGGCUCAACCCCGGCCGG